GUUGAUGGCGACCGGCGCACGGGUGAGUAACACGUAUCCAACCUACCGGUUAUUCCGGGAUAGCCUUUCGAAAGAAAGAUUAAUACCGGAUAGUAUAACGAGAAGGCAUCUUCUUGUUAUUAAAGAAUUUCGAUAACCGAUGGGGAUGCGUUCCAUUAGUUUGUUGGCGGGGUAACGGCCCACCAAGACAUCGAUGGAUAGGGGUUCUGAGAGGAAGGUCCCCCACAUUGGAACUGAGACACGGUCCAAACUCCUACGGGAGGCAGCAGUGAGGAAUAUUGGUCAAUGGACGAGAGUCUGAACCAGCCAAGUAGCGUGAAGGAUGACUGCCCUAUGGGUUGUAAACUUCUUUUAUAUGGGAAUAAAGUGAGCCACGUGUGGCUUUUUGUAUGUACCAUACGAAUAAGGAUCGGCUAACUCCGUGCCAGCAGCCGCGGUAAUACGGAGGAUCCGAGCGUUAUCCGGAUUUAUUGGGUUUAAAGGGAGCGUAGGCGGACUAUUAAGUCAGCUGUGAAAGUUUGCGGCUCAACCGUAAAAUUGCAGUUGAUACUGGUCGUCUUGAGUGCAGUAGAGGUAGGCGGAAUUCGUGGUGUAGCGGUGAAAUGCUUAGAUAUCACGAAGAACUCCGAUUGCGAAGGCAGCUUACUGGACUGUAACUGACGCUGAUGCUCGAAAGUGUGGGUAUCAAACAGGAUUAGAUACCCUGGUAGUCCACACAGUAAACGAUGAAUACUCGCUGUUUGCGAUAUACGGCAAGCGGCCAAGCGAAAGCAUUAAGUAUUC
rnacentral:rRNA from 1 species